CCAGCAUUUGUAUGUGAGACACAAAACAAUCAACAGGCUGAAGAGCACUGUUCCAGUCCUGCAGCUCACUCAACUUCAGAACAUCAUUGCUUCACUUGGAGGGAUGCAAAAUGGCCCUGGUGCUAAAACAAAUGUAAUUUGGAGUAACGCCUUUCCGCAAAUAAAUGGCCUUCUUUGACUCGCAAAGGUGUUAGAUCCCCAAGUAUACUCAUGUAUACGUGGACGUCAAGUAAUAAAGUGACUCGAAAGUCAAAUGUCGAACCCACAGAUACUUACAUUAAUUGUUAAUUAAGCAAACUAAAUAAAUUAUUUGUCCAAGGUACUCAAAAGUGAUGAUUUUUCUACUAAAACUAGUCUUUACAUGUAUUAAGCAAGUAAUUAACUAAACUAAUAAGAAUGCUGAUGUUUAUGAUCGAGUUUUAAUCAAUGGAGAUUAAGAUUUCAAGGUUG